rnacentral:piRNA from 1 species
UGUUAGGAUGUUGUCCUGCAGCUCACCUU